rnacentral:pre_miRNA from 1 species
AAAUUUGUUUUUUCGGCUGUGCAGUCUUGAAUGAAAUAAGUAGAAUCAACGCUUUCAUUCAAGACUGCACAGCCGAAAAAACAAAUUUC